rnacentral:lncRNA from 1 species
UAAGGACUUGUUGCUUUUUUAGAGUGAGGAGAAUGGGGAGUUUUUCAGAAUGAGUUUUAUGUUACAAAUGGAGUACUGGUUGAUCUUUAGAACGAGGAGAAUGGAGAGUUUUUUAGAGUGAGGUGAAUGGGGAGUUUUUUAGAAUGAGUUUUAUGUUACAAAUUGAGUACUAGCUUGUUGAUCUUUUAGAAUGAGGAUAAUGGAGAGUUUUUUAGAGUGAGGAGAAUGAAGAGUUUUUUAGAAUAAGUUUUAUGUUACAAAUGGAGUACUUGUUGAUAUUUUAGAACGAGAAAAAUGGAGAGUUUUUUAGAGUGGGGACUAAAUAUUAUAAACACAUUUAUUCUAUCUUUCCCCUACCUAAUAUUAAUCAAGUUAUUUAUCUAAUACGAAGGUCUAUAUCCAUUUUUCAUGUAAUACGAUGCUGAUGGACCGGCAAU